UCUCAUAAACUUUUCUCUCAAUUCUCUCUCAAAUUCUUUGAAUCAAAACCACAAAUACACACAAAAAAAAAAAAAACUUCAACAAUUUUCAAGAACAUGAUGAAGAUGAUGGAGACCACGUAGCCAAAAUUCACUGCCUCGCCGAUCGUCAUUUUCUCAUACCACUGCUCAUCACCGCACGGAAUUUCUUCCAAGACGUCACUGUUCGCAAGAACAUCCUCCGCCGAUCCUGUUCCGACGAUCUCCUCUGUCAACGUGUUUCCGGCAACUCUUCUUCCGUUUGCUGCUUUUCAAUUCCGAUUAACUUCUGGCAUCUUCCGCUCGCUCGCGGGAUCCUAGUUUACUCGCUCUCUUCGCUUUAGUUUACGGAUCAUCAUCCGUUUGGUAUUGAUUCCUUUUCAUUUUAUUUCUCUCGCACUUUAUCGCUUUCUCGCAUCAUUCUUUAACAUGCAUCUGGCCAAGCCCUCGAAAGAGGCUCUGUUUUUGUUGGUGUGUUUAUAUUUGUGCUUUGCGGCAGGGAGUCACGGUGUAAUAAGUCCUAUAUGGCACUCCGUUAAGUCCUCAUGGAAGGCACGCGGAAAGGGUUAGCAAUCAACCUCCGCCUAGUCUCAUCGAGUCCGUUUGGUAUGCGCACGCUACGCGUAGCUCGCUUCUGAACCUGCACAAGAUCUUGUUAUCGAGUAUGUCAGGAAAAGGGUUCAUGUAGCCGGACCCCCGCCUUUCCUAUAGCUCGCGUCGCUCGACGUUGAUGCUCGGUGUACGCACGCACCGUUUUCCUUUACGAUCCGUGACGGCUUGGUUGCUGAGAGGGGUCCGCCCUCUUGUCUAUGGCCCGAUCAUUUUCACGAGGUCUAAUGCUUGGUUGACUUGGGUUGAGCUGCUCCCCUUGGCUAUGGCGGGACCGCUUUUCUACCAUUCGGUCAGUACCGUUGGUUUGUUUGCUUUACAAGCGGAUGCUCGUUUGUGUGCUCAUUGUUUGCUUUCGCCUUUCCCCGUAGGUUGAUAGCUUAGCUUAGACUUGUACCCUUUGUAUGAUAACAUUAGAUAGCAAGCUUUCCCCCUUAGCUUAGGUUUUCCUCAUGCAUUCUUUAAAACACAAACCACACUCUUUGAUUUUCUUUUCUUAAGAGCUUGUUAUUUCCGCUCCAUUCCCAGCAUAAGUCUCCAAAGGUCGAGCAGCGGAGUGUGAAUGUAACUCGUUCACCUAAAAAACACAAAACAAAUAGAAAUUAGUUAUCCGAGCUACGGUAGCUCUGAUUCUGCAAAACAGAUACGUAGGCAGCGGGGUAGGGCCCGUGCGAGCACAAUCCUUUCUUUUCCCUACAUUCUGCAUUCAUUUUAGUCCAGAUUAGCGUAGAUUUGUUACACACCCAUAGUUUUAGACACAGGCGUGGAUACCAUCGAGUACGAUGGGCGCGAGGGGUGCUAACACCUUCCUCUCGCGUAACCGACUCCCUUACCCUCCUUCUCUGGUCGUGAGACCGUUGUUUUGUUUUGUUUUGUGGUUUGCUGGCAUUCCCUUCCUUUUCAGGAUAAAUAUGUUAGUGGCGACUCUGUUAAUUUUUGCGGUAGCGACAGCUGGCGACUCUGCUGGGGAACAAUGCUGUCUCGACCUGUUGCUGGUCCGGACCUAGGGAGUCGAUCCUAGCGCUUGUGUGUUUAUCAUUGGGUGUUUUUACUGCUUUGCAUAUUAUCUGUUUGCAUUGCAUUCUAUGUGCGCUUUUACUUUUCUGCAUCAUAUUCUGGACUGUCUGGAUUUCUGUCUGUGGGUGGGUGUUUCAAGAGGUAAAAGGCCCAAUACCCAGGCUAUGAGUGAUACCAUAGGAACUAGGACUAGAGUGGCCGUGACGGACAGAAGGCGUAUGCCUGAUUGAUUUGAUCACGUAUCCACGGGCAGAGCUUGGUGGAAUGAGGCAAUAUCGUAUGAUAACGCCUACAUUCGAUCCUCUGUUGGCUUUUUGACCUACCUUGGCCUAGAUUUACCCGUGAGUGGGGCGGGAAUCAAUCAUUGCUUAACAGGUACAUUGUUGGUGACUUUGGUUCUUGUUCGAGGGUUACCGCUGUUCUCGUUCGCGGGGUACCAUGGUUCUUGUUCGAGGGUUACUGUGGUUCUUGUUCGAGUGGUUUUGUUCCUGUUAUGAUGACUAUGGUUCUGUUUCUAUUGAUUAUGGCCCGUGAUCUACGGGGAGUUCUGAAUUGGUGCCGAACCUUUAAACUUGAGUCGUGUAACUUUGAGGAAAUCCAGACAUGUCUGGUGGGAGACAUUCAAAGUCCCACCACCUUGCAUCAUUGCAUAUUUACUUUUCCAAAAAAAUGAUGUACAAAAAAUAACAAGCAUACUAACAUACGUGUUCUUUCUAUUUCCAAGGAAUCACAUCUUUAAGCCUCGCGCCGAGCUCUUUUCCAUCUCUUAUUUGCUAAAAAUCAAAACAUGAGGAUUCCUUGGAAAUUGAAUGAACAUGGCAUGGCACGCAUAUCCUGCAUCUCAUGCAUUUCAUGCAUAACAGGUGUUCAGAGUUGAGGAUUUCUUAUUCAGACUCGGUACUCUCACCAGACUCACAGACUCGACUUGCCAUUGUUGUGUGCUCAAAGAUUAGUCAUGGAACAACUUUGUGGGGUGAUCAAGAGGAAAGCUCAGUUGAGGUUCUUUUUGAAGACUUGUUUUAUGCUUACUUGCUUCCAAGCUUGCUUUAUUUGCAACUGGUUAAACUCUGUACUGUAGGGAUGUCUACAUAUUCUUUGCUUGAUGACGAUGAUGCUAGGUGUGAAUUCUAUCCUGGAGCACCUGGUCGUGAUGUUAUGAUCUGCAAGUAUUUGAAGUUGCUUGGGGCUCCCGAACGAGGGAUAAGCAAGACAUUGUCUAUCUUGAGCAUUGCACCAUUUGCAUUGUUCGAAUCCCUAAAGCACUGACAAAUUCCGUGUGACUUUGCCAGAAUUUUCUGCCAGACGGUAAUCCAAAGUGUUCUACAGAGACAUCUCUCAUUCUCAAGGUUCUACUUCAUAUCCUGAGUUACCUCCUCCUCCUGGAGUUUCCUUUUCCGUAGCCUUCGCUUGUCAACGGAGACAGAAAGAACAUGAGAAACAAAUUGACGUGAGCCUAGUGCCAUUAUGUUCGGUUACGUCCAUGCUUGAUGGAAUUUCAGUUGGUUAAGAUUCGUGCUUUGGGUGUUUCUCACCACAGAUAGCUCUCCUGAUUUCGAUGACAAUACUCGGUGUUUUCCAUUCUCGGGGCACCUGAUCAUAAUGUCAAGCCUUACAAGGUGUUGAGGUACAAAGAAUCCAGGAGUUGCUCGAUGCAGAGAUGUUUGAGUUUAUUCAUAAUGGUUUCUGCUGGUCAAUCCCAUUUCAUCUGCUGCAAGUAGAAUGUUUGUUCUUCCUCGAGGAGUAACUCAUGAGAAUCACUUGCAACUUGUACUACCAGAGGCUUCCUUCCCAACAGCUAUUGUGUGUUCCAAGACAUGACUUUGAUAGCCAAGCGUCAGAGGUUAUUUUUGUUCGCUGAUAGUAAUACAAGUUUCCUCCAUUCAUGAUGGUGUUUUUUGUUUCAACAGCCAUAUUUAGGGCUCCCGACCGAGGGAUAAGCAAGACUCAGUGUUCUUGAGUUCGCAUCAUUGGCAGCUCAAAUCCCUAAAGCAUUCAUAAACUCCUGUCACUAUUGUUUGGGGCUCCCGACCGAGGGAUAAGCAAGACACCUUGUAUCUUGAGUUUGUGUACCACUAGCACGACUCAAAUCCCUAAAAGCUGGACACUUACAACUUUUGUAUGGCCUCGCCGAAAUCUUCUUCCAGGAAGUAAUCUGAAAGGUUCUGCAGGAACAUAUGCUAGUGCUCUGUGGCACUUGGUUAUCUGAUUGAAGACUGUAAGUCAUUCAAAGACAAGGUUCAAGACCUGAUUGACUCAAAGGCUAUCACAUUCGCACCUGAAGGCUAGAAUUGAAGUUCUCUUCCGACUCAGCGGAUCUUCUGAAGCAAUAAGUCCAUACGGAGAAGAUCUCCUCAACAUUGGCAAUUCUGAAUUCAUCAUGCAUGUUCAUGUUUAAGCUUUCUUGUUUUGUUCAAUAUUGUUUGCAUGCAAAACUGGUUUGUUUUUGAACUAUAAUCAUAAUGCAUUGGAUACGUUGUCUUGAUAAAAUCCAUUCGCUUUUGCUCUUAUAUGUUUUUCUAUGCUUUUUGUGACACUCAACUCUUGUUAACAAAGCAUGUUAACUCCGUAGGGAGAAUGAUGAACAUAAUACCAAUAACCUCAAAUGGUAUGCUUUUGAGUAGAACCCUGUUGAUGAUGUACAGGCAUUGUUUCAAAAUCCCAAACACUGGAGAUAUAAGGGAGUGAAACCUUCGUUAACCCCUCUGAGCCUUCGAAGUAGGAGUUUCUUUUCUAUUAAAAAAACCCUUAUUUUUAACCCAGGGGCCGGGUAGUGUUCAGUUAACCUGGUUGAGCAUUCAAAAUUCAUCAGGAGUGUGCACUUAAGGAUACAACAAUGGUUAUCCCUCGCAUCAGGAGGACGAAACGUCAAAACCACAACGGUUAUCCCUCACCUCAGGAGGUUGAGACAUCAAAAUUAUUCCUCACCUCCGGAGGUUGAGACCAACAUCAGAGUCGCGGUGGUUAUCCCUCAUAUCGUAAGGUUAAAUAUGACGAUACCACAAUGGUAAUUCUUCAUCUACCAAGAAUUCAGGCAGUCACAAUCACUUCAAACAAAGCAGAGGUAGUGCGGGAUCACACGACUUGUCAAAAAAAAAAAAAAAAGAGAAAGAAAAAAAAGAAAGAAAGGAAAAAAACAAAAGAAAAAAAAAGAGAAAGAAAAAAAUGAAAAAAAAGGAAAUAAUAAUGAAAUUGUUAAUCAAGGACAAAGUCGUGUGAUGUUAAAUCAGGGGAUCAAGAAAGGUGAAGUGAUUGCCGUGUCCAGAAUACCUCAUUGACUCCUCAAUCAUUUCCAGACUCCUCUUGAAAGAUGAAUCCUCGUGUCAAGUUAACUGAACUUAGGACUGGAGAACAUCACGAAGGGGGUGGGCACCAAAUAAUUUGAGCCUAAAAAUCAUUUUUUCUAGAAAAACCGUGAACCUGACCACGUUACAACCCUGAAAAGUCCUAACUGAAGCAUGGGUUAAUUCGAAAGCAGACUAUACAUGAGAAUACGGUAAGCUGACUCCUAGGAGAUCUGCUAAUUGCUUGGGUUGGUAUCACACCAUCUUUCUUUCAUAAAAAAUCGAUGUUACGACAUCCUUUCAAAAAGUUUCUUUAAACUUCAAGACAAACAUACUCUUUGCAUUAGAAUUAUAUUUCUCAUAAUAAACAUUCUUUGCAUAUGAACAAGUGCUUAACAUCAAGAAAGUUUCCAUCAUGAACUUCAGAUGAAAAGUGUAUUCCUCCCAAAGGAUAAGUUGUCUUUAGAACUCCGUUGAGUAGAGGCAGCAAUAUUUCAAAGUCCGAUCACCCUCAGGGGCACAAAAGCGUUUGAUUACUCUAUCGAGUAAGUUUUCAAUCGAUCUGAGGCAAUCAGGUCAAGAUUCGAAGAAUCUCUCAAAGUGCUAAGUAAUCAGGGGUAUUCACCCAAGCACAGUCGAAGCUACCUCCAAUACAGGUCAGGCAGGGGCAUGGUUCCAAAAUUCAUGAUACUGGGGCAAGUUGGCUAUGAUAGCACGACUCUCAAGAAGGUCCUUACGAGACUAAUCUCUUCAAAGUCCUUACAGGAUGAGCAAAGCAAUAUACAAUGGCAUUCUUUCCUCAUCAGGAGGUGAUCAGUUUUAAGUUCAGGUGUGAGCUAAACAACUUAUGAACUUGAGAACUGUCAGGGUCUUCAUCCUCAACAGUUAGAAACUGAAAGCCCAUUACUUGUUGGCAUCCUCACAAUCAAUGUGAAUCUACAAAGCCCGCUUCCUGGUGGCACCACUAUGAAAGCCAAUCCCUGUUUGGUCUCUUGGAAGUCAACACUUGCUUGACACCUUAAGCCCACUUCCUGGUGGCAUUCCCUCGGAAAAUCAAUGCUUAUUUGAUGCUCCGGCCGAUACUUGUUUGGUGUUCUAAUGACUGCUCGCUUACCAACUCAUUGAAUCCAUUGUCUGUAUGGAAAGUUUCAAAGCCAGGACGUCUGACAAUCUGUUUGCUCUUGCAUUUGCCCAUUGUGGGUGAGCAUCAUCAUCCUCUGUCAUGUGAGGAAAUCCCGGGAAGAUGUCAUGCUAUAUCCUGGGGGCAUUUUUCAUUUGUUUGUCUCGCAGGUACGUCCUUGCAAGCGCUUCGCAUCAGCAUAUUGACAGACAUAGCUAUGAGAGAUUCUCACUCCCCAGCCGAGUGCAUCCUAAUGAGGGACUCUCACUCCCUAGCUGGAUAUAUCUAGAUGAGACUUUCUUUGUUCCAAGAUUCUCAUAUCCUCAUCAAAGCACAUCUUGAUGCAAUUCCCGUGCUUCAGAAGCCUUAUUCCCGACGGAAUUCUUUCUCCCCAGUUGAGUCAUGAUAGAAUGGUAUCCGAUUCCCCAGCAAGCUCUUAAUGAGGUUCCUUGCCUGAAUGCCUCAUUUUCCCCAGUAGAGGGCUUUCUCUCCCCAACAGAUUGACCUGUUUUCCCCAAGAGAGUCAUCUUAUUCCCCAGUGGAGUGAUCUUAACAAAAGAUUCUUAUGCUAAGUUCCUUAUCCCCAGCGGAUCUCUCAUCUCCUCAGUCGCUCGCUUUGCAGAAGUAUUCAUCUUCCCCACUGAGCUUCUUUCCUCAACAGAGAUUCAUUUGCAUCCUCAGCAGGAUAUGUUCUCAUCUAGGACUUCCCCAACGGGAUGCGUCCUACACCAGCAGGUUGUUCACUCCUCGCCAGAGUUAUCUUCAUGACUUGCCUUUAUCUCCUCAUCCCCAGUAUGUCGAGAAUUUGCUUCUCUAAUGAAGUUGCAAGGGUCUUCCCCAAGCAGUUAAGUGGGAUGUUCUUAUCCCCAAGCAGGAUUUAUUCCCCAAACAGAGCUUGCAUCCGGAUUUGAUCGUCUCCAGCAGAUUUCUAAUUCAUCUCUGUCAGCUCGUAGUUUGUGACUUCUAGUCACUCAUCUUGUCCUCCCCGCAGAGUUCUAUAAUCUCUUCAGGACUUCUUCAGCAAUUCAGUGCUCAUCCUUUGUUUCCUUAAGCAACGUCCAAAUCAUGCAUCAUUCACAUUGCAUUCUCUAAGCGUGUAGCGUCUUCCUUCUCGAGAGCGUUAUUUCAUAAACAUUCAUACAUGCAUCAUGCAUAAAUCAUAUCAUAUCUGUUUCUUUCUACAGGAAAGUCAUCCAGAUCUCAAAAUGCCUCCCUGAGAGCAAUUCGCCUAAUCAUUACAGGCGCUUAUCCUGAUGUCUAAAUCAGAAGAAGUUUGUCUCCCUCUCCCUGACAUUUUCAGACCAGAUGAAAGUCAUGCUUAUUCCCGAUGUCCCCAGAUCAGUUCAAGAUAUCUGUUCCUAUCCUAAUGCCCAGAUUAGUUGAAGGAAUCGCCUCCGGAUCUCCCAAGAUCUUCCGAAGGAGCUAGCCCACUGAUGCCUCAGAUCAGUCGGAGAUAUCUCCUGAGGAUUUACUUCAUCAGAAGAGGACUGUCUAUUAUUCCUGAUAUCGCCAGGUCAGUUGAAGACACUCCUAUUCCCGAUGUCCCCAGAUCGGUUGAGGAUAUUUGUUCUUAUCCUGAAAUUCAGUUCAGUUGAAAGAACCGCCUCCGGAUCUCUAAGAUCUUCCGAAGGAGCAAGCCCUCUGAUGCCUCAGAUCAGUUGGAAAUAUCCAUUCCCUGACGAUUUAGUUCGUUCAGAAGAAGAUAUGUCUGCUCAGUCCUGAUGUCCACAGAUCAGUUGAAGACAAUCUUGAUUCCCGAUGCCCCCAGAUCGGUUGAGGAGGUCCAUUUUCUUCCUGAUGCCCCCAGAUCAGUAGAAGGCACAAUCCUGAUGUUUCCGAUCAGUUGAGGACUUCCACCCACCUGACGAUUUAUUUUCGUCGGAAGAAGACUUGCUUGCUCAGUCCUGAUGUCCCCAGAUCAGUUGAAAGCAUUCUUUAAGAUUCCCGAUGCCCCCAGAUCGGUUGAGGAUAUCCAUUUCCUUCCUGAUGCCCCCAGAUCAGUAGAAGGACACAUUCCUGAUGGUUCCGAUCAGUUGAGGAUGUCCACCCACCUGACGAUUUAUUUUCGCCAGAAGAAGACAUGUCUGCUCAGUCCUAAUGUCCUCAGAUUAGUCGAAGACAUUCUUAUUUCCGAUAUUCAGAUCGGCCAAAGACGUCUAUUUCGUUUUGAUAUCCAGAUCAAUCGAAGAUGUCGACCUUCUCUUGGUGCCCAGACCAAUUGAAGUUUUUUCCCUCAGCAAUGGGGUUGCCUGGUCUUUAUUGUUGCAAGUAGGAUCAGUUAAUUAUCAAGAGCGCAAAUUUUCGAGUUCAUUCUAGUAUUCAAUCUCCUUUACCUUAACGGUUCGAAACUUUCGUUUCUCGCUCGUCAGGUUCAAGAAGUUUGAAUAGGGGCAGCUGUUGCACCCCAAAAUUUGCCCUCUUUAUUUGAGCUAUAAGUUAUCCAAGACGUUUAUUUCGUCGUUCGUUCGAAAAGGAAGAAAAAUAAUAAAAAGAUUUUCAUGGGUCUAAGAAGAUAUAGUGUGAGAUAUGGUUUAAACAGUGGAAAUACGAGAAAAUUCACAAGUCCGGUUUGGAAAGUGAUAUGAGCUUGGUUCCCGCGUUGCCCCUACUGUUUGGACGUUAUCUACAACUUCCGUGUUUGACUCAGAAAUCAAUUCCAUAAGGAAGGUUGUCGAAUUUGCAAAUUAAUCGAUGUUUCACAGUGAAAAAUGGUGCUGAACCGCAGGUUUUCGGACAGUAAAAAAUUCAUAUCUCCUAAUCCGCCAGUCGGAUUCGCUUGAAAAUUUAACUGGGGAUCCGUGCCAUCAUUACCAAGAUUUCAUAUGUUCGGACCAUCGGCCGAUUAUGCACCAAAAGUGCCCAGCAUUUUAAGGAACGUCGCAAUCUUUCGGUAAAAAGUGUGUUUUCGAGUACGUCGCGACGAGUUUGAAAAUUCAUAACUUCUUCGAUUUUUAUCGUAUGGAGUCCAUUCCGGCGGCAUUUUCUCGGAAAUUUCGUUAUCUUCGAUUCUUUGUCACACGUGCUAAGUCAGAUUUCGAGUCGAAGUUUGAGUUUUAUCACGUUCUCUGAACGGUACUCGCAAAAUUCUGCACAGUCGCACCAGAUGAACCGAUUUUUCUCGUCAUUCAAACGCGCAUAAUUUCCUCACCGUUUGUCGGAUUGAGACGAUUCUCGCGGCUACGAGUCACAAAUUUGGUCAUCUUCCCAGUGAUGUUCGUUUUACUUUCGAAUUUCGCACUGAGUCAUAUUUCCCCAAAAAAUGAGAAAAAAGAGAUACGUCGGAUCUGUUAAAGUGUUAAGAUCCUUGCGCUUUUGAGGGGACUGUUUUUAGUUGCCAUAUGGGAUUUGAACUUGUGUAUUGGAAUUAAGGCUUUGAUUGUUGUUUAGUUGGAAAAUAAUGUGGUAAAAUGUUUGUCGGCAUGAGAUGUAUGUUCUGUAAUUUGUGAAAUAGAUAUUGGUUAAUGGUGGACAUUGCUAAGCUUUGAUUAGUGUUACUUGUGAAUGAGUUUUCUUGUGAAUCACUUAGGGAUAAUAUGUUUGACUCAGCAUAUUGAAUUUUGGUUAAUUACUAUGUUACAUGUUGGCUUUGAUGGAUGUCAUGCUUAUUGAAAUGUGAAUUGAGGGCUGCAUCGUGUGAGGAUUUGUCAUUAAUUGUUAGUGUAAUAUGGAAAGCAUACUUGUUUUGCUUUGCUAAUAAUCAUUUGGUCUUGUUGUUUUAAAGUGUUGGCUUGAAGGAUGUUAGUUUUGAUAGAAUUGGUGGGUUAAGUGUUAUAGUUCUGAACUUGUGCAUGAGUAGUGCUUGUGAACCUUGGGUAAUAAUAUGGUGGUGUUGUUUGAUGAAGCUUAAACGUACAUAUGCUGAAAAUUAGUUUAGUUUGUUGGCAAUAUGAAUUGGUGAACAUAAUUGUGGACAUGUGGUUGAUGAUUGGGGAUGAUGUAAUUGAAUAGUUGAAUUAAACAAUGCUGAAAAUUAGAUGAAUAAUUGAUAAUUGUGUUGUUUUGUGUGACUUAUUAAAGCAUGAAAAUUAGAAGUGAUUUUGGUUGUUUUGUGGCUAUUUGAACAAAGGGAUAGGGCUGGAAAAUUUCAUGAGGUGUUGCUAUUGAUAGUUUAUGUUAAUAAUGUUGCUCCUUUAAUCAAGUUUGGUGUUGGAAGUUAUUGGUUAACAUGUUGCAGCUUUUGUUGAUGUUCAAGAAAAACUACAAGAAGUGUGUUGAUGUGAAUAGAGUGAUGCUGGAUUCUAUUUGGUGAUAAUGCUUUAGGUUGUUAAGAAUGACCUCAUUUUGUGUGGUUAAUGGUUGCACUAACAUGAAGUUAGAAACAUGAGUCGCUAUUGUUGUUUUUGUAUGUGAGGAAGAUGCUGGAAAUUAUUUGUGUGGAUUAAAUACUCCAAAGGCUACCUGAAUAGGUCAUCUAUAGUUUAUGGUUGCUUCCUUGAUCAUACAAUUUACUUUGUGCUGAAUGUUCUCAUGUCUUGAUGAAGUUUGUGACAUAGUAGUGUGUUGAGUCAUUUCCAUUACCUUGAGUUAGAUCUUAAGAUCAAAUAAAACAAAUGUUGGCAAAUAUGUGGUGAGUGAUAAUGGUAGAGAUUUUUGUAAAUGAAGUUUGUUUCUCAUGAAGAUUAAUUGAGCUUAUUUGUGAUUAGCUUUUGUUGAUAAUGUUUGAUAAGCUUUAUUCAACUCUUGAGAUCAAAUCUUUUCCUGUUGCUUUUACAUGAUGAUGAAAUGAUUGUUUGAGCUUGUACACCGAAUUGUGAAGUUAAAAUAUGAUUUCGGUUGAUUUUAUUGUGACACAUCAUUGCUGUCCGGAAUUAUAUUUUACGCUUUGUCUCGCUGUUAAAAAUGGACACUUACGCUUAUUAUUUUGUUAAAAUGUUGAACCGCAUGUUUAAAUUCCGAUUUUAAUGUGAGUUUCUAUGAGUUUCAACAAAGUGAUGCCAUGCUGUCCCAAUUUGAUUUCAACAUGAAAGUUGUGUUCCAAUUUUUCCUAUCACGCAUGUUCACAAUCAAUUACUCAAUUGUGGUUCGUUCGGUAUCGUUUUUGUGCAUUUUAAGCUAAUUUUCAUGUGAUUUUGCGAGGUGUGUUGUUGCUGUCCCGGAUUGCGUUUCAUACCAUAUUUCACUUUUCUAUCUUGCUUGAUGCUUUCUUUGUGCUCAAUAACAUGGUUAAUUGCUAAAUGUGCAUUCAAAUUUCGGUCUCGACGCAUUUGCCCUUGAUUUACAAUAAGUGAUGCAAUGCUGUCCCGUGAUGUGCAUAACACCUAAUUCAUGUAAUGCAUAUGUAUUUGUGUUUGCUCGCUUGCGGAUGAUUGUUGUCGUGUUGGUGCUUGUUCGAUACAUUUUUCAUGCGAUUAUUAUGCUUGUGUACUUGCUGCCCCAUUAGUGAUGGUGUGUUUCCUUCACUUGUUAUUCAUUUCUCUUUCCACCAUUCAUUUUCAUUUAGCCUUGUAAAAUACCAACGCAAUUCCUAUUGCGGAUUUUUGUUAUCUCUAAUGUGUGUGCCAGUAUGCAAGGUAAUGUGGAGGCUCUUUCCGGUUGAUGCUCGCACUCGUGUUCCGCUUUAUUUACGGGACACGAUACAUCUUGUCUUUGAUUUGCGUUUCUACACGCAUCCUUUAUCAUUAUACUUGCUUGUCCGGAUUUCUGUUUCCCUUGCAGGUGUAUGAUAUUCGUUGUGCUCAAUGCACACGUCAGCGUGUGAUUUACUUUCACCGCGUCGACCCUUGAUUGCUUAUGCGGAUUUUAAUCGGAGUGCUGACAUGUUUGCUGUUGCUUUUGCUAGCUCGCUCGCGGGAUCCUAGUUUACUCGCUCUCUUCGCUUUAGUUUACGGAUCAUCAUCCGUUUGGUAUUGAUUCCUUUUCAUUUUAUUUCUCUCGCACUUUAUCGCUUUCUCGCAUCAUUCUUUAACAUGAGAAGUAGGACCUAGACAUGCAUCUGGCCAAGCCCUCGAAAGAGGCUCUGUUUUUGUUGGUGUGUUUAUAUUUGUGCUUUGCGGCAGGGAGUCACGGUGUAAUAAGUCCUAUAUGGCACUCCGUUAAGUCCUCAUGGAAGGCAUGCGGAAAGGGUUAGCAAUCAACCCCCGCCUAGUCUCAUCGAGUCCGUUUGGUAUGCGCACGCUACGCGUAGCUCGCUUCUGAACCUGCACAAGAUCUUGUUAUCGAGUAUGUCAGGAAAAGGGUUCAUGUAGCCGGACCCCCGCCUUUCCUAUAGCUCGCGUCGCUCGACGUUGAUGCUCGGUGUACGCACGCACCGUUUUCCUUUACGAUCCGUGACGGCUUGGUUGCUGAGAGGGGUCCGCCCUCUUGUCUAUGGCCCGAUCAUUUUCACGAGGUCUAAUGCUUGGUUGACUUGGGUUGAGCUGCUCCCCUUGGCUAUGGCGGGACCGCUUUUCUACCAUUCGGUCAGUACCGUUGGUUUGUUUGCUUUACGAGCGGAUGCUCGUUUGUAUGCUCAUUGUUUGCUUUCGCCUUUCCCCGUAGGUUGAUAGCUUAGCUUAGACUUGUACCCUUUGUAUGAUAACAUUAGGUAGCAAGCUUUCCCCCUUAGCUUAGGUUUUCCUCAUGCAUUCUUUAAAACACAAACCACACUCUUUGAUUUUCUUUUCUUAAGAGCUUGUUAUUUCCGCUCCAUUCCCAGCAUAAGUCUCCAAAGGUCGAGCAGCGGAGUGUGAAUGUAACUCGUUCACCUAAAAAACACAAAACAAAUAGAAAUUAGUUAGCCGAGCUACGGUAGCUCUGAUUCUGCAAAACAGAUACGUAGGCAGCGGGGUAGGGCCCGUGCGAGCACAAUCCUUUCUUUUCCCUACAUUCUGCAUUCAUUUUAGUCCAGAUUAGCGUAGAUUUGUUACACACCCAUAGUUUUAGACACAGGCGUGGAUACCAUCGAGUACGAUGGGCGCGAGGGGUGCUAACACCUUCCUCUCGCGUAACCGACUCCCUUACCCUCCUUCUCUGGUCGUGAGACCGUUGUUUUGUUUUGUUUUGUUUUGUGGUUUGCUGGCAUUCCCUUCCUUUUCAGGAUAAAUAUGUUAGUGGCGACUCUGUUAAUUUUCGCGGUAGCGACAACGUCCCCUCAACUGCACGCAUGCUUGUCCAGAAAUAGUGAACACGUGUUUACCAUCUGGAUAGCCAGUUACAGCUGUUUUGCUUUUAAAAAGAUUUUGAAUCAACUUAGACAAUGAAACUUUAGUAAUAACUGAAUCACAAUUUCUAAUUGAUUUCAAUCAGAACUUCUUAUAAACAAAAAAUCCAAUUUCAUUUCAGAAGAUACUCAUACAUAAGAUCUUCUCAUCUUCUCAUUCUGGGCAUAAAUCCAUACUGAUAUUCUUUAGAAUGAACUUAAACCUAUCUUCAGCAAGGGGUUUUGUAAAGAUAUCAGCCCAUUGAUGGUCUGUAUCCACAAAGUUUAAAGAUAUAACACCCUUCUGAACAUAGUCUCUUAUGAAAUGAUGUUUAAUCUCAAUAUGUUUAGCUUUUGAAUGUAAAAUAGGAUUCUUAGAUAAACAUAUAGCAGAAGUAUUAUCACAGAAAAUAGGAAUGUUACUCUCAUAUAUCUGAUAAUCUUCCAGCUGACUUCUCAUCCAGAGCAUUUGUGUGCUACAACCAGCAGCAGCAACAUAUUCUGCUUUUGUUGUUGAGAGGGCAAUAGUAGCUUGCUUCUUGUUGUACCAUGAGAUCAGAUGACUUCCAAGAAAUUGACAACUUCCAGAAGUGUUCUUUCUUUCUAUUCUAUCUCCAGCAUAGUCAGCAUCACAGAAUCCUACUAAGUUGUAAUCUUUAGAUCUUCUGUAAACUAAACCAACAUUAGUAGUACCUUUCAGAUACCUUAGAAUUCUCUUAACCGCAGUUAAAUGAGAUUCUCUUGGAUCUGAUUGGAAUCGAGCACACAAACAAACACUAAAGAUAAUGUCAGGUCUAGAAGCAGUUAGAUAUAGAAGAGAUCCAAUCAUACCUCUGUACAACUUCUGAUCUACCUUCUUACUUACCUCAUCCUUACCCAGUACACAUGUUGGAUGCAUAGGAGUUUUGGCUUCUUUGCUUUCAGAAAGAUUAAACUUCUUCAGAAGUUCUUUCACAUACUUCGUUUGAUGAACAUAGGUUCCAUCGGUAGUUUGGUUGAUUUGAAUCCCAAGGAAAUACUUGAGUUCUCCCAUCAUGCUCAUUUCAAAUUCAUCCUGCAUAGACUUAGCAAACUCCUUUCCAAGUGUAGCAUUAGAUGUUCCAAAGAUAAUAUCAUCAACAUAUAUUUGACAAAUUAAAAUAUCCUUUUUAAAUGUUUUACAAAAAAGAGUAGUGUCCACUUUUCCUCUAGUGAAAUCAUUUUCCAAAAGGAAAGAACUCAAACGUUCAUACCAAGCUCUGGGAGCUUGUUUCAAUCCGUAUAAUGAUUUCUUUAAUUUGAAAACAUGAUUUGGAGACAUGGAGUCUUCAAAACCAGGAGGUUGAUGGACAUAAACUUCUUCAUCUAUGUAACCAUUUAAGAAGGCACUCUUAACAUUCAUCUGAUAAAGAGUGAUGUUGUGUUGAGUGGCAAAAGAAAUUAAUAGACGAAUAGAUUCUAACCUGGCCACUGGUGCAAAGAUUUCUGUAUAAUCAAUCCCUUCUUGCUGACUAUAACCUUGAGCAACCAGUCUGGCUUUGUUUCUUACCACUUCACCUUUCUCACUUAGCUUGUUUCUGAAAACCCACUUAGUACCGAUGAUGUUAAAUCCUUUUGGUCUAGGAACCAAGUCCCAUACAUCAUUCCGUGUAAACUGAUUUAGUUCUUCUUGCAUGGCAAUUAUCCAGUCUGGAUCUUCUAGAGCUUGAUCAACAAAAGUUGGCUCGAUCAAAGAAACAAGACCUAAUUGACAUUCUGCAUUGUUCUUAAGGAAUGCCCUUGUUCUGAUGGGAUCAUCUUUCUUUCCAAGGAUCACAUCUUCUGAGUGAGCUGAAGCAAGUCUAGGUGAUCUUCUGACUGUAGGUUCUUCAGAAAUCCUAAGAUUCUCUAAAGAUGCAGCAACUUGAUCUUCUGAUCCAUUGCUUCUGAGACUGCCAGCUUCUGCAGCUUUGCUUCUUGGUUCUACUGCUUCUGAUAUAUUAAUAUCAAAAUCUGCAAAAUUCUCAAACUGCUUUGGUUUUUCAAGACCAAGCUUAUCAUCAAACCUGAUAUUGAUUGAUUCUUCUACAAUCAAUGUUUCAGUAUUGUAUACUCUGUAGCCUUUAGAGCGUUCAGAAUAUCCAAGAAGGAAACACUUUUGUGCUUUAGAAUCAAACUUACCAAGAUGAUCUUUAGUAUUCAGAAUAAAACAUACACAUCCAAAAGGAUGGAAAUAUGAAAUGUUGGGCUUUCUGUUCUUCCACAAUUCAUAAGGAGUCUUAUUUAGAAUAGGUCUGAUAGAGAUUCUAUUCUGAAUAUAGCAUGCAGUGUUUAUUGCUUCUGCCCAGAAAUGCUUAGCCAUAUUGGUUUCAUUGAUCAUGGUUCUGGCCAUUUCUUGUAGAGUCCUAUUCUUUCGCUCUAGAACUCCAUUUUGCUGUGGAGUUCUAGGACAAGAGAAAUCAUGGGCAAUACCAUUUUCUUUGAAGAACUUCUCAAAGAAUUUGUUCUCGAAUUCGCCACCAUGAUCACUUCUGACCUUUAUGAUUUUGUACUCCUUCUCAGAUUGGAUCUGAGUGCAGAAUUCAAAGAACACUGAAUGAGACUCAUCCUUGUGUUUCAAGAACUUUGCCCAUGUCCAGCGGCUAUAAUCAUCAACGAUGACUAAUCCAUAUUUCUUCCCUCUGACAGAUGCUGUUUUGACUGGGCCAAACAGAUCAAUGUGCAAGAGUUCUAACGGCCUUGAGGUAGAAACAACAUUCUUAGACUUGAAUGCAGGUCUGGAGAACUUGCCCUUCUGACAUGCUUCACAAAGAGCAUCUGAUUUGUAUUUCAGAUUUGGGAGUCCUCUGACCAGAUUUAGUUUGUUAAUCUGAGAAAUCUUUCUCAAACUAGCACGUCCUAAUCUUCUGUGCCAGACCCAUUGCUCUUCAGAAACAGACAUAAGACAAGUCACCUUCUGCUUCUCAAGAUCAGAAAGAUCAAUCUUAUAUAUGUUGUUCUUCCUCUUGCCUGUAAAUAGGAUUGAGCCAUCCUUCUGACUUACAGCCUUGCAAGACUUUUGAUUGAAGAUUAUAUCAUAACCAUUGUCACUUAAUUGACUUAUGGACAAUAAGUUAUGCGUUAAUCCUUCUACAAGAAGUACAUUAGUUAUGGAAGGAGAGUUACCAAGACUUAUGGUUCCAGAGCCAAUGAUUUUUCCCUUCUGAUCUCCUCCAAACUUGACUUCUCCACCUGGUUUAAGCACCAGGUCUUGGAAUGUAGACCUUCUUCCCGUCAUGUGUCGCGAGCACCCAGAGUCCAGGUACCAUGACAUUUUGCUUUUUGUCCUCUUUUCCGUCAAGGAUAUCUGCAAUAGGAAUAAUCUUUUCCUUAGGUACCCACAAUUUCUUGGGUCCUUUCUUGUUAGUUCUCCUCAAGUUCUGAUUGAACUUGGGUUUAGCAAAAUAUUUAACGGGAGGAACAGCAUGAUAUUCCUUAUUCUGAGUUCCGUGAUAUUUCUUAGGUUGUGUCACAUGCUUCUUGGUGUGUGUUAUGUGAAAACUUUGUGCAUGUGAUGUGUGCUUAAUAUCAUAGGAGUGGCCAAAUUUAAAUUUGUUAUACAGAGGCUUGUAUGAUAUUUUCAUAUCAUCCACAGAUUCAAGCUUGUAUGGGAUUUCACUCUCAUAACCAAUGCCAACUCUCUUGUUUCCAGACACAGCAUAUAUCAUAGAAGGUAGCUGACUUCUGCCAAUACUUCUAGAUAAGAACUUCCUGAAACUUAAAUCAUAUUCUUUCAGAAUAUGAUUCAGGUUGGGAGUGGAUUUUUCUGAAUCAGAAGGAGAUCCAACAUUAUUGGAUAAUUUUAAAACUUUUUCUUUUAAUUCAGAAUUUUCCAACUCAAGCUUCUUAGUUUCAAAUUCAAAUUGCUUUUUCAGCUUUUUGUAUUUGAUACUAAGAUGAGCUUUUAAUUCAAGAAGCUCUUUUAGACUGGAAACUAACUCUUCUCUAGAUAGUUCAGAAAAUACCUCUUCAGAAUCUGAUUCUGAUGUAGAUUCUGAUCCAUCAUCUUCUGUCGCCAUCAGCGCAAAGUUUGCCAGCUCUCCUUCAGAGUCUGAUCCUGAUUCUGAUUCAGAAUCAUCCCAUGUUGCCAUAAGACCUUUCUUCUUAUGAAACUUCUUGGGAUUCUCCUUCUGAAGUUUUGGACACUCAUUCUUGUAAUGUCCAGGCUCAUUGCACUCAUAGCAGACAGCCUUCUUCUUGUUAGAUCUUCUGUCACCAGAAGAUUCUCCUCGUUCAAAUUUCUUUGAACUUCUGAAGCCUCUGAACUUCCUUUGCUUGCUCUUCCAGAGUUGGUUCACCCUUCUGGAGAUCAUGGACAGUUCAUCUUCUUCUUCAGAUUCUGAUUCUUCAGGAUCUUCUUCUCUAGCCUGAAAAGCGUUAGUGCAUUUUUUAACAUUAGAUUUUAAUGCAAUAGACUUAACUUUCUUCUAAGGUUCAUUAGCGUCAAGUUCAAUCUCAUGACUCCUCAGGGCACUGAUCAGCUCUUCCAAAGAAACUUCAUUCAGAUUCUUCGCAAUCAUGAAUGCAGUCACCAUUGGGCCCCAUCUUCUGGGCAAACUUCUGAUGAUCUUCUUUACGUGAUCAGCCUUGGUGUAGCCUUUGUCGAGAACUCUCAAUCCAGCAGUCAGAGUUUGAAAUCUUGAAAACAUCUUUUCAAUGUCUUCAUCAUCCUCCAUCUUGAAGGCUUCAUAUUUCUGGAUUAGAGCAAGAGCUUUAGUCUCCUUGACUUGAGCAUUUCCGUCAUGGGUCAUUUUCAAAGACUCAUAUAUAUCAUGGGUAGUUUCCCUGUUAGAUAUCUUCUCAUACUCAGCAUGAGAGAUAGCAUUCAGCAAAACAGUCCUGCAUUUAUGAUGAUUCUUGAAAUCUUUCUUUUGAUCAUCAGUCAUUUCACUUCUCGUGAGCCUUACACCAGUAGCUUUAACAGGAUGUUUGUAACCAUCCAGCAGAAGAUCCCAUAGAUCAGCAUCUAGACCUAGAAAGUAACUUUCCAGUUUAUCUUUCCAGUAUUCAAAGUUUUCACCAUCAAAUACUGGUGGUCUAGUAUAACCAUUGUUACCAUUGUAUUGCUCAGCAGAGCCAGAUGUAGAUGCAGCUGGAUUUGUUGGAAUUUCACCAGCCAUCUUUUACUGAAGCGUUUUUCUCUUCCUGAAUCUUUUCUAAACACAGUUAAGUGCUUGCACCUUAGAACCAGGCUCUGAUACCAAUUGAAGGAUAGAAAAACACUUAGAAAGGGGGGGGGGGUUGAAUAAGUGUAGUCUAAAAACUUGAACGAUAAAAACAAUAUGCACAGUUAUUUUUAUCCUGGUUCGUUGUUAACUAAACUACUCCAGUCCACCCCCACGGAGUGAUUUACCUCACCUGAGGAUUUAAUCCACUAAUCGCAACAGAUUACAAUGGUUUUCCACUUAGUCCGCGACUAAGUCUUCUAGAGUAUCCUGAUCACAACCUGAUCACUCCAGGAACAAAUGCUUAGACACAAGCUAAGACUUUCUUAGAGUAUCCUGACCACCACGUGAUCACUCUAAUUACAACUGCUUAGACACAAGCUAAGACUUCCUAGAGUAUCCUGAUCAACACUUGAUCACUCUAGUUACUUAUAAAUUAAUGUAAUCAAAUAAGAGUUUUACAAUGCUUCUUAAAAGCUAUAAUCACAACAGUGAUAUUUCUCUUAACGUUUAAGCUUAAUCUCACUUUUAUAUUACAACAGCAAUGUAGUGAGCUUUAAUGAAGAUGAAGUUUCUGAGCUUUGAAUUGAACAGCGUUUCAGCAAGUCUUUCAGAAAUAAUUUCGUUCAGAAUUAGUAACCUUGCUUCUCAUCAGAACUUCAUAUUUAUAGGCGUUUGAGAAGAUGACCGUUGAGCGCAUUUAAUGCUUUGCAUGUUCCGUACAGCUUUGCAUUUAAUGUUUCACGCUUUUGUCAACUACCUCGAGCCUUGUUCACGCUGUGUCUACUGACGUUGCGUUUAAUAGCUUCCAACGUUCCUUUUGUCAGUCAGCGUAGCCUGCCACCUGUACUUUCUUCUGAUCUGAUGUUUGUGAAUAUAAUAUUGAAUGUCAUCAGAGUCAAACAGCUUGGUGCAUAGCAUCUUCUUGUCUUCUGACCUUGAAGUGCUUUUGAGCGUGAUACCAUGAGAACUUCAGUGCUUCUGCUUCUGAUCUCAAGUUCUUCUGAUGCUUCCAUAGACCCAUGUUCUGAUUCUGCCUUGACCAUCUUCUGAUGUCUUGCCAGACCAUGUUCUGAUGUUGCAUGCUGAACCUUCUGAGACAAAGCUUCUGAGCGCUGAUUUGUGCAUACUCUUUAUAUAUUUCCUGAAAUGGAAAUUACAAUGUAUUAGAGUACCACAUUAUCUCACACAAAAUUCAUAUCCUUGUGAUCAGUACAUUUUGAUGCACAUUCCUCUACGGUUGUACUUAUACAUUUCCAUGGUUUGCUUGUCUUAUUUUUGUAUUUUAUAAUGUUUUUAUAUUUUAAAUUAUUUUUAUUGUUAUUUGAUUUUCGUAUUUAUUUUUCAGCUUUUGUAGUCUGCACGGAAACGAUCAUAACUGGAGUUCCGUAAGUCCGAUUGAGGCGUUCUAAUAAUCGCCGGAAAGCUAAGAGAAAGAGCUACAACUUUUAUGUUGGAGUCAAAGUCAGAAUCGGAACCUAUAUUUCCCAGAAUUGCGUUUGAAGCUGCAGCACUAUUUUAUUUUCGUUUUUUGGGUCGUUUAGUAGUGGGCCUGGUUUUGUCAUUCGACCCAGUUGGGUCAUAAACGUUUUUUGGCUCAUUCCUAAUAGGUCUAGCAGCCGUGUUACUGUUUAUCACGUUUUACUAUUCACAAUUUUGUUUCCACUCUUUUGCUCUGUACGGUAAUGGAGAACUAAACCUCGAGGAUCAAUUCACUGUAAUCAGAUGCCGCUUUGAGGUUCUUUUAUAA